CAGGAAGUGACAUAGCAAGGAGACUCAUAUUUAAGCGAAAGAGAAACAAGAAAGGCCCUCUCUUUUCCCCUCGGCUCCUGCUCCAGCGGCACGAUGUGAUCCACCAGCUAGGAGGGACGCCAAUAAGGCGUCCGAUAAGAUAAGUCUUAUAAAAUAUAUAGAUGUAUGAUAAUUGAGACUGAGCUAACAGAUGAGAAUCCUAGUCAUUGGCCAAGCAGCAUUGUAACUAAUACAAGUCUCUCUGUGUAUUCAUUUGGGCCUAACUCGGGCAGGCGGCUGUCGUAAAGCUCACACAUGGCAGUGGGGCUCAGGCGGCUUUUGGCAGAAAGAUUUAUAGUAACAACACAGUGUUCCUUGAGCAGCAAGUUGCUCCUUAAUCUGCUUGAUCCUUCAUGUAAGACAUGCUGGGCAGUUUCAGUGCGUUCCACUUAGACACAGACUAAGAAAUGGAAAUUAUUGGUCUGUGAUAGACUCUACGAGUAAGGAAAUCCCAGUCUGUCACACACUGGUUCUCACUCCUUUUCAAUGUAACUAACUAUGGACACCUCCCUGCUACACCACCACCCCUAGGACUGGGUUAAGGACAAGUUUUCCCUCCCUCCACUGUUUGUUCACUCUCUGUCUUGCAAGUGCUUUUUGGUCACAAUGAGUCCCAGCAAGGCUUCAGAGCCUCUGGCAGGUCCUCUUCAGUGCUGCCAAACUGUCCACUGGGAUGGGUGUGUGAGGGGGAGCUGAUGGUCUCAGGGCCCUCAAUUAGACCGUGAAACUUCAUUUCACAUGAAAAGGAAAAAGAAAUCUAGUUGAUUCCUCAAGGUAAGAAGCUAACCAACAGUUAGACCUAAUCCUGUUUCCUUCCCCUAACUUACUUUACCCUGUCUCUGCAGGGACAGAGCCAAUCUUCCUGAGAAAGUAUCCUCCAUCUGCUUACAGGCUCUGGAGCCAUCUAGACUCCAGUUUAUAAGAGAGCUCUGCAUAGAGGGCCCUGCUUUUCUGGGCCAUCAAUAGGCCUUCAGCUCUGGGAGUCCUGCUCACUGUCUCCCUUCAAGUCUUCUCUCCACUGUACAACAUCUGUUUUCCAGGCAGCGUGCACUGUGUCCAGAGACAGCCAAAGGUCAUCAGACUCCUAAGAUCAGGUCCGAGGAAAACUGAAGAGUCUCUGGCAUAUCCUCCAGUGCUGCCACACUGUCCACAGGGGUUACGUGUGUGUUGGGAGGCUGAUGGUCUCAGGACCCUGAACCACAGAGUGAAACUUCUUUUCACAUGAAAAGUAAAAAGCAAUCUAGCUGUCUCCUCAAGAAAGAUGGAAGAAGAGAAGCUGCCUGAGAGUUCAAUGUCACCCCAAAAGAAACCAAAGCUAGCUGAAAUCAAGAGAAAGAAACGUGUUAGAUCAGUCUUACCCCACCAAAGGGACAGGCAAAGAAAACCCUCUUCCUCUCAAAAUGCAGAUGAGGAGAUGUUCAAAUGUGAAUGUCACUGCUGCCAGAAGUAUGUGGGAAACACGUCUGGAAUGUCUGCGGGGACCAGGACAGAAGCAACCUCUCCUUCACCCUCCUUAUAAAAGCUGACAUUAGAUCCCAGUGUCUUAACACUCAACCCAAGUACCACCCAGACCCUCUUAUGCAAGAAAGAACACAGAAAAUAGAAAAUGACAAUGUGCAUUGCAAACUGAGAAGCGAAAGGAUAUUUUUUUUUAUUAGUUCAAAUUAGGAACAAGCUUGCUUCACAUGUUAAUCCCUUCUCCCUCUCUCUCCCCUUCCCUCAACCUCCCCCUACUCUAUUUCCCCUCCGCUCCCCAGGGAGGGUAGGGCCCUCCAUGGAGGCUCCCCAAAGUCCACCACAUCAUCCUGGGCCAGGCCUAGGCCCCCCCAAUGUGUCCAGGCCAAGAGAGAAUCCCUUCAUGUGGGAUGGGCUCUCAAAGACCCUUCUUACACCAGGGAAAAAUAUUGAUCUUCUACUACUAGAGGCCCCAUAGAGUGUAGAGGCCUCCUCAUUGACAUCCAUGUUCAGGGCUCUGGAUCAGUCUCGUUCUGGCCUCCCAGACAGCAGUCUGGGGUCCAUGUGCUCCCCCUUGUUCAAGUCAGCUGGCGAAAGGGUAUUUAAAAGGCUCUCCAGGAAUGGACAGAAUGACUGUGGACUUAUCAACCUCCUUUCAAUAAGAUCAGAGCCUACAGGAUCAUGAAUCUUUUUGGGAGCAUGGUUAGGAGGAGUACCAAUGUCCAGUCUGGUGAUAAUAACACCAUCACAUGGAGAGACUCCAACCUAUUCUAGAAAUGUUGCAUUCCUUUCCUUAGUAUUUUUGGCAUCCUUCCUGGGACAUUCUGGGCAGAGCAGCUCCCAGGCAAGGGCAAGCACAUAGCGAUGGUUCUAUCUUCCCCAUACUGUUGUUCCCAUGGGUGAGCUAACAUUUUCCUCUCCUCAGGUUUUGACUUUUCCUUCCUUCCUUUUUUGCUGUUUUCAAAAUUGCUUCCGUUCCAUUUUAUUUACUGGAGCUAGAAGGAACACUAGGUCUGGUGGAGGUGUGUGUGUGUGUGUGUGUGUGUGUGUGUGUGUGUGUGUGUGUGUGUGUGCACUUGAAAUUUUUGUUUCAAAGCUUUUUGUUUUGUGAUAUUUUGUUUCUGCUGGGACAAAUCAAGCUUGCUGGAGAUCAGUUGGCCCAGCUAGGUAGUACUUAACCAUAGAAGCUAGGUGGUGGAAGCUCAAACUUAAUUCCAGCACUUGGGAGGUGGAGACAGGAAGUGACAAGGUAGGGUGAAGACAGGUUCACAGUCCUUUUGAUCAGAGGAUCCUGGGCGCAGAUGGAGAUAAGAAAAUGCAUCCUUAAAGGAAUAAAAUAUUAGUAUCUGGUACAGACUCUGGUGAGGUAUCCAACAUCCUUGUUGGCAUAUCAACAGUGGCAUCAAUACUACCAAUCCAGAACAUAUGCCAGACAACUGCUUAAACCAGAACAUUCCUGAAUAUAAUGCCAACACCCAGAGUUCUCCAAGCAGGAGUAUGCAGCGUGCCAAAUCAAGGUUCUUACUCCCAUAUUAACCAGACCUUGAAGGAGGAGGUGUCACCAACUUGUCAGUGACUAUUGAUCUGACAGCUACACAUGAGGACAAAGAGAGGCUUGACCGCUGUACAGCAUUAGGUCUGAUGUGUGAGGGCUGUCAGGUAGCCAUUCUUCAAUAUCUGGAAUUUUUCCAGCACCAGAAAGAGGAGCUGUCUGUUGUGCCAGACAGUGGGAAACAACAUGCAAGAACCACACCUACAUUAAGAAAUUCCUUCAGACAUUAUAUCACUGUAUUUCUUCAGCAUCUUUCAUUCCAGUGAUGCCCAUAAGCCUACGUUGGCCUUUAAGAUAGAGAUGGUUAUGGAAUAAGGGAAUUGGCUGAUUGGAGCAGAUCUUCAAUCCUCUACCGAAUUUAUUGGCAUGAUGGUCUUCAUCAGUAUAGUCUUAUUCCUACUGAGCUCAACCAGAGGUUUAAAUAUAUGAAUUCUGGUGAAUUGUAAUACUGAAUGGUAGCAGUGAAUGUCAUCUGUUGGAAUAGGAAGUCUCCAGUCCAUGGCUUUACCCAUUUCUAAUUCUGAGCUUCCGUGCUCAUUACUUAUGCUGUCUUUGCAUUUCAGUUGUGUAACCCAAUGCAAAACGGAAUGCUCUGCUAAUGCAGGACACCCACAAGCAGCUUUUAGAGAGGGGCUUCUGGAUGAAGCAGCAUGCUUCAGUGCUGGAAGAGGGUAUCUUGAACCAUAAAACAACAGUAGUGGCCGUCUUUUUGUCUCCUAUGAUGUAUGCUGGGCCAACUGAGGAAGGCUGCUUGUAGGAUGUCAGUGCAGUGCUAAAGUCACUGUUGUGAACACCAUAACCUCACCACCCUUCCUGUUGGCUUUUCCCUGAUGGCUAGGUGUGUUCCAAAUAUUCAUUACUUCUGAGUACUCUCCUACUGCUGGAAAUGUCCUCUAGUGCUGCACCCCGUGGGCAUCCUGUUGUUGGGAAGCUUGAGAGAGGUUUCUUUGCCUCUUUUUAUGGUUCUUGAUCCAAACUGUGAGGAAUAUAUGGAAGCUAGAACAGGGAAGGUUGUUUUGUGUCCACCAGCCAAGGUCCAGACACAGUUAAAGACAACACUUCUGUUAUGAUAAAUCUUUCUGCCAAAAGCCGCCUGAGCCCAACAGCCACCUGUGAGCUUUACACCAGCCGCCUGCCUGGGAUAGGGCCCAAAUGAACACACAGAAACUUACAUUAGGUUCAAAGCUGCUUGGCCAAUGACUAGGAUUCCUUAUCUGUUAGCUCAGUCUUAAUUAUCAUAAAUCUUUAUAUUUUAUAAGACUUAUCUUAUUGGAUGCCUUAUUGGCAUCCCUCAUUGCCUGUGGCUCACAUCCUGCUGCUGGAGGAGGCAAACAGGAAAAAAAGGGCCACUUCCUGUUUCCUCACUUAGAUAUGAGUCUCCUUGCUAUAUCACUUCCUGCCUGGAUCACCACUUAUCUACUUAAUUUCCCAGAAUCCUCUUUGACUCCUAGUCCUGUCUAAUUCCCUGUCUUCAUUGGCCAAACAGUAUUUUAUUUAACAAUCAAGAAGAUAAACAUACACAGAAGUACAUUCCCCAUCAUCUCCUCUUUUUCUGUCUAAAUAAAAGAAGGAUAACUUAUCAUUUAUAAUAACUGAAGAAAACUAUAACCAUAACUAUCUGUCUUCAACUGUAUCAAAGACCACAGAAGGAUAAUAUAUAAACUCUAGAAUUGACAGAGACAUCUGGCUACCUGGACAGUCACCCAAAGUUCUUCUGUAAUGUUGGGGCAUCCAUCUCCAGCCUAUAGCCACAGUGUGUCUGGAAGACUUCUAUUUCAACAGGAACCCUUCAGUACUGUCUUGUUUUGUAAGUUCAGCAGUCACUUUCUUGUGGGUCCUGCAUGUCUAGUUUAUACAGCAACAAACAGUCCAGGAAAGAGCAGUUUCUUGCCCAAAUGGCUAAUCUUGUCAUGUUGAAAGCAAACUCCAUAACGAGUUUCUUCGAUGUCCAUCCUCCGUUUUGACGUAAUUGGUGUGCCAGGAGCAGUUGUGUUUUACUGACAAGAAAAACCCUAAAUCAUUUAAAUGCCAUAUUUCCGUUGGUCUUUGAAAGGUUUGAAGAAUACCUAUUCAUCUCAAAUACAUCUCUGUAUAUCUAGAAAACCUAACUAACCUAAUUAUAAGUUCUGACUAUUAUAGGCGAUUAUAUAACCUGUAUUUAAUUAUGUAUAACAUUUUAAAAGAUCUGUAUAAACACAAUACCUAAACAAGAGGAG
rnacentral:lncRNA from 1 species